GACGAACGCUGGCGGCGUGCCUAACACAUGCAAGUCGAACGGAAAGGCCCUGCUUUUGUGGGGUGCUCGAGUGGCGAACGGGUGAGUAACACGUGAGUAACCUGCCCUUGACUUUGGGAUAACUUCAGGAAACUGGGGCUAAUACCGGAUAGGAGCUCCUGCUGCAUUGUGGGGGUUGGAAAGUUUCGGCGGUUGGGGAUGGACUCGCGGCUUAUCAGCUUGUUGGUGGGGUAGUGGCUUACCAAGGCUUUGACGGGUAGCCGGCCUGAGAGGGUGACCGGCCACAGUGGCACUGAGAUACGGCCGGGAGUGCUACGGGAGGCAGCAGUGGGGGAUAUUGCACAAUGGGCGGAAGCCUGAUGCAGCAACGCCGCGUGCGGGAUGACGACCUUCGGGGUGUAAGCCGCUUUCGCCUGUGACGAAGCGUGAGUGACGGUAAUGGGUGAAGAAGCACCGGCUAACUACGUG
rnacentral:rRNA from 1 species